GGGGUGCAACACGAGGACUUCCCAGGAGGUCACCCAUCCUAGUACUACUCUCGCCCAAGCACG
rnacentral:rRNA from 1 species